GAGCUUCAUGAAACAACUACAACAUCAAUUCAAAACCAAGUCAGACUCUCCUUCUGAUCCAGGAGUUGAGCUUUCAUUUCUGUUUCUUGGAUUUCUUCGGUGGGUUGACGAUGUUCUCAGCUUCGUCUGAAGAGCCAUCGAUCGGCUCGUCGGGAACUUCGGUGGGCUCGUUGUGCUUAGUGAUGAAGUCCUUCAGUAUGAUCAUGCUCUCCUCCUUCAGAGCAGUCAGCUGUUGAGAGAGACUCCCAGACCCCGAACUAACUGAAUAUACUUCAGAGCCGAGAUGUAGAGUGAUCUUGGCUCUGGGUUCCAAAUGCACAGCAGGAGCUUGAUCUUCCAUCGUCAAAAUACCGGAUUCGCG
rnacentral:misc_RNA from 1 species